AUGAUUAUUAGAAAAACAAUACAAUGUACACGGGGGGCACAUCCAAAGAAGACACCAGAAGGGGAGGAACUAGUCAUUCUGUUCAGUCCAGUUCAGUCGCUCAGUCGUGUCCACCUCUUUGCGACCCCAUGGACCGCAGCACGCCAGGCCUCCCCGUCCAUCGCCAACUCCCAGAGUCUACUCAGACUCAUGUCCACUGAGCCGGUGAUGCGUUUUGUAGUCCUACCUUAUUCUUUUCACCGUCGCCCCAUUCCCCAAAGGGGGAAACUGAGUCCAGACGGGCUUAGUGACUCAUCUAUGUCAUUUGGGCUCUGGGCUCCGACUCCUGCCUUGUUAGGGGGUUUCCUGAUGUCUCCUGCAGGUCUCUUUGUGGGGGUGUGGCCGUGGGUGGGGGGUGGAGGGGGACAGAUCCUCUUUCAUUUGGUGCUAAACACCAUCUCUCCCCACUUCCCACCCACAGCAGGGGUCGUGAUGGCAGCUCUUGGGCAGUGUCCUCUGCACCCCGGCCCCUUCGGCUCUCCACGCACCCAGGCGGGGCCACCUCCUCCAGGCUCUGCUGGGACACUGCUCUUGGUUCUGCAGACAAAGUGCCUCAACUUCCACAAUCGGCACUUCCCAGAUCAAUCAUCACCUACUUUAUCAUCCAGUUUGGUUGGUUCAGAUGACUUUAAACAGGUUCCUAUGGAAGAAUGAAACACAGCGAGGAGAAGAGAAUUGCCGAUUCCCAGGGGCCUGUGUCUGCCAGCGGCUGCUGAGUACCUCUGAGAAACUCUGCUUUGAGCUAAUAGGAACCCCCUGUUCUGGGAAGAUCAGUAUAUGGAACAAAAACCUCUGGGUGGACCCCUGGGCAAGAUGAAUUUGACCGACCAUAUGUUCCAGGACUCCAGCGAGAACAUCACCACCUCAACGUCAGGCCCCACACUACCCAGCAGCCUAGACACAGCGGCCACAGCUGUUUCUGGCUCCAUUGGUGUCGUGGCCCUCAUCUUGCUCCUGGUGGGACUCUUGUCCGUGACUCUGAAAAAAUGGAGGCAUGAGAGACUAUUUAAGAAACAACAGAAGCAUCAGACCAACUUUCUCCACAAAUCCUUGGAGCUUUCCUGCCAUGCCGAUGCCAUAUAUUCCAACGUGAUCAACCUGGCACCCAGGAAAGAGGAUGACUUCGCUGUCUAUGCCAACGUGCCCCCUUUCAACCGCCCCAGGAGGACAUCACCAGACCACGUGGAAUAUGCCUCCAUUGUAUUUCACUGAUGAGAGGCUCGUGAGAUGCUUCAGAGUGGAGAGUCAGACCUGUGCCUAUCUGUAUCCUGAUGCGGCUUUUGCUCUAGAUAUGUGUGUAUAUGUGUGCAUGUGUGUGUGUGUGUCUUUGCACGUGCCUGUGUGUGUUCAUGCCCGCCCAUGCUCAAAAAACCAUAAUAUGUAUUCUGAUGGAGGUAAAUGACUUGGUAUUUCUUCUAAUUUAUUGGAAGCAAGGUGCAGUUCUAAUGGAAAGGGGUGACAUCUGAGUGACAAGGGACAUAGUCAUUUCAGCCACUCUGAGCCAGAGGCAGGUUCCUGAGAGAGACUGGCCGAAAGAAGAGCCGUCUCUCUCCCCUGCCCCUCAUAAGGCCAGGGCUGAGGAGCAGGGCUCACCCCACUCAGGGACCAGCUCCCGGACUUCGUCUCUGCUGUGCUGCCCUGUAAGGAGCUGACUCCCUGCAGAGGUUAACGCGUGCGUCACACUCAGGUCUGUGGCUGAUCACCACGCACAUUUUCACAGCAGCUUUCCAGGGCCAUGCAGCAAGUGUGGAGGGAGACGGCGUGGGGGAGCUGCAAGUCCAUGGGGUCUCAAAGAGUUGGACAUGACUGAAGCAACUUAGCACGCAAAUGCAAUGGAGAAAAGAAAAUUUCAUUUAAAAACAAAGCUUAUGGAAGCCACUUUCAUCUUCGAGGAUGAUGUGAUUCACAUCGUUAAGAAAACACCUAUUCUACGGAUCCAUUCCAUCUAUAGAGACUGGAGAGGGGAGAUGAAAGUAGGAAGGAAACACAAAGAUUUCCAAGCCUCUGCCUUCUUUUCUAUUGAUAAUGGGAAAGUUCAAGAGCAGGCAACCCUUUGUCUUUAACACAGCUGUAUGAUGACCAGGUACCCUGAUUUGUUGGGGAUUUUCCUGGUGUACAACUGUGGUCCCAGCAAAAUUAUUAUUAGAUCCCCUUUCAUUCUCUAAAUUGUCAUAGUUUGGAUGAUAGAUUAUGUGGUCACCUGUUCACAAGAUUUUGAGAGUGCAAAAGCAAUUCCAAGACCAAUAAGGAAGGGAAAGCAAAGUUGUUUUGUACAAUAAAGUGGGAACGGAAUCGGGGUGGGAGUGGAGG
rnacentral:lncRNA from 1 species